GUAAACAUGGCUUCAUUUGCAAAGGUGGUUGUGUGUGUCCUCAUUGCUUGUGUCUGUAAUGCAUUCUGUUUUCCGAAGAGAGAUGUGAACUUUAAGGCCUCUGCAGUUGACCGCCAAAGUGAUGAUGUGGUUGUCACCACAACACCCGUUCCCCACAACCAGACCACAUCUGCCCAUACUGAAGCUGGUGAUGGAGCAAGUGAAGAUGCUGUGGAUACCACCCCAACACCAAAUCCCCCAACUACAUCUGACCACACUGCAGCUACCGAUGAUGCAAGUGAGGGUGCUGUGGCUGCCCAAACUGGAACUACUGUAUCCCAUACGACUGAAGUCUGAUUCGACUGCUCCUCUGGUCACAAAGUACCUGAGUCACUGUCUGGACUUUUUGCCUCUACAUGUUGACUGCAAUAAAGGACAGUUUUGUUUUUUGAAUCAAAUGUUGUCUUGCCUUUUUCAAAUUGAGGCCUUGUCCUGUUUUGGUGGUGGAGAUGACUAUGAAGCCUCUUUCCUAACGUAUUUCCUGUAUUGGUUUUACUAUAUGCUUCAUGCAACAAGGCCUUUAACGAC
ensembl:lncRNA